GUAGGGAAUAUUGCGCAAUGGAGGCAACUCUGACGCAGCCAUGCCGCGUGCAGGAAGAAGGCGCUACGCGUUGUAAACUGCUUUUAACCGGGAAGAAACCCCAGGACGUGUCCUGGGUUGACGGUACCGGAGGAAUAAGCACCGGCUAACUUCGUGCCAGCAGCCGCGGUAAUACGAAGGGUGCAAGCGUUAUCCGGAUUCAUUGGGUUUAAAGGGUGCAUAGGCGGAGCGUUAAGUCAGUGGUGAAAUCCUGCAGCUUAACUGUAGACUUGCCAUUGAUACUGGCGCUCUUGAGUGCGCUUGAAGUGGGCGGAAUGUGCCGUGUAGCGGUGAAAUGCUUAGAUAUGGCACAGAACACCAAUUGCGAAGGCAGCUCACUAAGGCGAUACUGACGCUGAGGCACGAAAGCGUGGGGAUCGAACAGGAUUAGAAACCCCAGUAGUCC
rnacentral:rRNA from 1 species